rnacentral:lncRNA from 10 species
GAGCAGAUAGAUGCAGGUGCCAUGCUUGAACAGUGUGCAGAGCUCACUCUGUCAACUAUCAGAAAUCAGCUCAAGCACAGCCAUCUACUUUGAGAAGUCUUUUCAGCACCUGGAGAAGAUGACAACCUGUAUUUUACUGCUCAAAAAAGAAAAUACAAGGCUCAACUUGUUUCUGAUGCAGAACUCAGGAGCUCCUAAAAGAGCAAGUGGAAUGAAAUGUUUCCUUUUUGAUUUUCUUCUCUUUUGAAACCAUUCACCCAUUGUUUAUUUGGAAAUAGCUUAUGUGGCAUGCAGAAUCCAUGAACACAAAAACUGAACAUUUAUUUAUCCAACAUAUUACACAUACUGUGAUUGCUUCAAGCUGUGUGAGGCGUGGCCUGUGCCAAUGCAAGAUUCAAUUAGAAUUCUGAGAUAUGUUAAAAUAGCUUUGGUAUAAGGCAGUGGAACUUAAUCAGGAGUGAUUUUGUUCCCCCUUCUCCCCCAUUUGGCAGUGUCUAAAUGCAAUUAUCAUUGUCACAACUGUGGGUACAGUGAUGGAAAUGGUGCUAAUGGCAUCUAGUGGGUAGAGACCACGGAUGCUGCUAAACAUCCCACAAUGCACAGAGCAGCCCCCCGACAACGAAGAAUUAUCCUACAUGAAAUGUCAACAGCGCCAAGGUGAGAAACUCUGAGUGUUAUUAGUGUGGUGCUCUCUGUGUGAUACAAACCAGGUGCUCUGGCAGAGCAAAGAAAGAAAGAUCACAUCCACUCGGGAUGAUCAAAGAUUUCAAGAAUUCUUUAAGUGGGUUUUUCUGUGGUCCAGAAUGCCUAAUUUUUCUGAGUCUUAGAGGUCCUCUAGUGUCCCUAAAUAUUGUAUUUCUGUAUGUCAGUCACUACGUUGUCAGUGAAAAGCCUUGCUUGGCCCAGUAACUCGACAUCUCUGUAUUUCAUUUUUUUCCACUGAAGAGUGAGAUUUGAUUCAGAGGCCCGAGGUCUCUCCUGGCUUUGAACAAGUGACAGUUCUCACUGUUUAAAAAAAUUUUUUUUUAAAUAGAGACAGGGGUUUCACCUUGUUGUAUAGGCUGGCCUUGAACUCCUAGGCUCAAGUGAUCCUCCCACCUACAGCCUCCCAAAGUGCUGGGAUUAUAAGCAUAAGCUACCACACCUGGCUGAGAAUUCUCAUUUUUAACUUUCUACCUGGUGGCCCUAUGUAUGGCAGAUGCACCUGACAGCAAUAAUUUAACUUAAGCAUACUCUGUAUGGCAGAUGCACCUGACAGCAUAAUUUCACUUAUGAUAUGAGGGUUGCCAUGUGGAGGUUGUGUGGAAGGAGGUGGGGUUGGGGGAAGGAGUGUUAAGGAAAAAUGCUAUAUAAACAGCACGCUUUUUUAAAGUGAUGGUUGUUCUUCUGACCAGCCCACUGCCACUGGACUGCCCUGUAAGUUCCCAAAUAAAUUCUAUGUUUCACCUGCUGGCUCCAUGUCUCUUCUUCAGUCUUGUGAACCUGGUGCCAUCCCUAUUGAAGUUAAUAAGGGUCAUAUAAUCCAUAAGGCAGGAUUCUCAGUCAUUUGUGGGUAAUGCUCUCCUUUGAAAAUCUAUCACCCCCUAACAUGCAUGUAACACAACAUUUUGCUUAUAGUUUCAGGAGAUCUA